rnacentral:rRNA from 1 species
UACGGGGGGGGCAAGCGUUGUUCGGAAUUACUGGGCGUAAAGGGCUCGUAGGCGGCCAACUAAGUCAGACGUGAAAUCCCUCGGCUUAACCGGGGAACUGCAUCUGAUACUGGAUGGCUUGAGAUUGGGAGAGGGAUGCGGAAUUCCAGGUGUAGCGGUGAAAUGCGUAGAUAUCGGGAGGAAGGCCGGUGGCGAAGGCGGCGCUCUGGAACGUACCUGACGCUGAGACACGAAAGCGUGGGGAGCAAACAGG